rnacentral:rRNA from 1 species
CGCUGUGCGAGGUGUAGGGACUUGCUCCUGAAGCUUUGCGCAGUCGCAGAUACCAGCUGGCUGCAACUGUUUAAUAAAAACACAGCACUGUGCAAACACAAAAGUGGACGUAUAUGGUGUGACGCCUGCCCGGUGCUGGAAGGUUAAUUGAUGGAGUUAUACGCAAGGAGAAGCUCUUGAUCGAAGCCACCAGUAAACGGUGGCCGUAACUAUAAUGGUCCUAAGGUAGCGAAAUUCCUUGUCGGGUAAGUUCCGACCUGCACGAAUGGCGUAAUGAUGACCAGGCUGUCUCCACCCGAGACUCAGUGAAAUUGAACUCGCUGUGAAGAUGCAAUAUACCUGCGGCAAGACGGAAAGAUCCCGUGAACCUUUACUAUAUCUUGAUACUGAACCUUGAGCCUUGAUGUGUAGGAUAGGUGGGAGGCUUUGAAGUGUGGACCCCAGUCUGCAUGGAGCCAACCUUAAAAUACCACCCUUUAAUGUUUGAUGUUCUAACCUGGGUCCGUAAUCCGGACUGGGGACAGUGUCUGGUGGGUAGUUUGACUGGGGCGGUAUCCUCCCAAAGAGUAACGGAGGAGAACGAAGGUUAGCUAAUCCUGGUCGGACAUCAGGAGGUUAGUGCAAAGGCAUAAGCUAGCUUGACUGCGAGAGUGACAGCUCGAGCAGGUACGAAAGUAGGUCUUAGUGACCUGGUGGUUCUGAAUGGAAGGGCCAUCGCUCAACGGAUAAAAGGUACUCCGGGGAUAACAGGCUAAUACCGCCCAAGAGUUCAUAUCGGCGGCGGUGUUUGGCACCUCGAUGUCGGCUCAUCACAUCCUGGGGCUGAAGUAGGUCCCAAGAAUAUGGCUGUUCACCAUUUAAAGUGGUACGCGAGCUGGGUUUAGAACGUCGUGAGACAGUUCGGUCCCUAUCUGCCGUGGGCGUUGGAGAAUUGAAGGGGGUUGCUCCUAGUACGAGAGGACCGAAGUGAACGCGCCAUUGGUGUUCGGGUUGUCAUGCCAAUGACAUUGGCCGGUAGUUACGUGCGGAAGAGAUAAGUGCUGAAAUCAUCUAAGCACGAAACUUGCCCCAAGAUGAGUUCUCCCUCGUCCCUAG